rnacentral:rRNA from 1 species
UAGGGAAUCUUCGGCAAUGGGGGCAACCCUGACCGAGCAACGCCGCGUGAGUGAAGAAGGUUUUCGGAUCGUAAAGCUCUGUUGUAAGAGAAGAACGUGUGUGAGAGUGGAAAGUUUACACAGUGACGGUAACUUACCAGAAAGGGACGGCUAACUACGUGCCAGCAGCCGCGGUAAUACGUAGGUCCCGAGCGUUGUCCGGAUUUAUUUGGCGUAAAGCGAGCGCAGGCGGUUUAAUAAGUCUGAAGUUAAAGGCAGUGGCUUAACCAUUGUUCGAUUUAGAAACUGUUAAACUUGAGUGCAGAAGGAGAGAGUGGAAUUCCAUGUGUAGCGGUGAAAUGCGUAGAUAUAUGGAGGAACACCGGUGGCGAAAGCGGCUCUCUGGUCUGUAACUGACGCUGAGGCUCGAAAGCGUGGGGAGCAAACAGG